AAAUUAAAUAUAUUUUAUGGUUUUAAAGUUUAUUCUUUAAAUUAAAAGGGAAGUUGGUGAAAAUCCAACACGAACCCGUCACUGUAACAAGGAGUGUAUUCUAGAUAAGCCACUGUUAACUUAGUUAAUGGGAAGGUUAGAAUAUAUGUUGAUAUGAAGUCAGGAGACCUGCCAUAGGAUAUAGACCAAA
rnacentral:ncRNA from 1 species